UGGUGGAGUGAUUUGUCUGGUUAAUUCCUCAACGAACGAGACCUUAACCUGCUAAAUAGUUACAUGUAACCUCGGUUACAUGGGCAACUUCUUAGAGGGACUUUGCGUGUCUAACGCAAGGAAGUUUGAGGCAAUAACA
rnacentral:rRNA from 1 species